rnacentral:tRNA from 1 species
UUGGGUGUAGUGCAAUUGCAGAGCACUUGCCUAGCAUGCAUGAGGCCUGGGUUCAAUCCCCAGCAACCCCAAA